rnacentral:rRNA from 1 species
GACGAACGCUGGCGGCGUGCUUAACACAUGCAAGUCGAACGGGAUGAUUUAGAAGCUUGCUUUUAGAGAAUCUAGUGGCAAACGGGUGAGUAACACGUAGACAACCUGCCGACAGGAUGGGGACAACAUUCCGAAAGGAAUGCUAAUACCGAAUGAAGCGGAGGAGAGGCAUCUCUCUUCCGUGAAAGAUGGCCUCUGAAUAUGCUAUCACCUGUCGAUGGGUCUGCGUCUGAUUAGCUGGUUGGUGAGGUAACGGCUCACCAAGGCGACGAUCAGUAGCCGGUCUGAGAGGAUGAACGGCCACAUUGGGACUGAGACACGGCCCAGACUCCUACGGGAGGCAGAGUGGGGAAUCUUCCGCAAUGGGCGCAAGCCUGACGGAGCAACGCCGCGUGAGUGAAGAAGGUCUUCGGAUCGUAAAGCUCUGUUGAUGGGGACGAACGUACGGAGUGCAAAUAGU